rnacentral:tRNA from 1 species
GGCGCUGUGGUGGAAUCGGCAGACACAAGGGAUUUAAAAUCCCUUGGACCGUAAGGUCCGUGUGGGUUCAAGUCCCACCAGCGCCA